rnacentral:rRNA from 1 species
UACGAGGGGGGCAAGCGUUGUUCGGAUUUAUUGGGCGUAAAGGGUGCGUAGGCGGUUUGGCAAGUCUUGUGUGAAAUCUAUGGGCUCAACCCAUAGCCUGCACGAGAAACUACCGGGCUUGAGUGAUGGAGAGGUGAGUGGAAUUUCCGGUGUAGCGGUGAAAUGCGUAGAUAUCGGAAGGAACACCUGUGGCGAAAGCGGCUCACUGGACAUUAACUGACGCUGAUGCACGAAAGCUAGGGGAG